ensembl:lncRNA
CCCAACACCGGCAACUUCCCGUAAAUCUGCUCUGAAAUUUUAUCCUGCUCGCUGAGCCUCCGCUGGCUGAAGGCCAGUGCAACAUUCCUGUUGUUUUAGGAGCGCAGAUACCUUUGCUGAAGGUUGGGGAUAAAAACAAAACAAAACAAAUCUGCCUUGAUGGGGAAGAGACGUGGGGACUUCACCACACAGACUUGUCGCUCCCCGCUCAAAAAGUCACAUCCAUUUUAGACAGCCAAGAAAUAGCCCCAGCAGUGGCACCUGCUCCACCUGAGGACAUCUGCCCGAAAUCAGACGUCUGGCCCCCCGCUUUGGGCGGUUGAGGGAAACCAAGCAGAACCACGUUUGAGGAAUAAGGAACCAGCUGUUGAAUCACGAGCCGAUUCAUUCCUUGUUACUAUAUGAAGAUCCGGCACUGUGACCCCUUCAGGGUUCCCUCACCAUAUCUAAGAUGCCGGAUACAGACAAGCGUUCCACAGCCUCAAGACAACUUAAAAACUCUGACUCCACAUAGCUCAGAUUUUUCUUUUCCGCAAAUCAUUCAAUAUCACAGUAAUCCAAGUCUAUGCCCUGACCAGUAAUGCUGAAGAAGCUGAAGUUGAAUGGUUCUAUGAAGACCUAUAAGACCUUCUAGAACUAACACCCAAAAAAGAUGUCCUCUUCAUUACAGGGGACUGCAAUGCAAAAGUAGAAAGUCAAGAGAUAACUGGAGUAACAG